GGUCGAUUAGCUCAGUUGGUUAGAGCGCCGUACUAAUAAUACUGUGUUGUACAUGCGGAUGUCAUGGGUUCGACCCCCAUAUUGACCA
rnacentral:tRNA from 1 species